AUGCUCUUUUCUAGUAAAACAUUACAUCAAUAUUUGAGUACCCUUGACCACCAAUCACAUAUCGGGUUACAGCAUAGUUUGGGUCAACUCUAACUUUUUUUUUAAGUGAAACUUGCUGUGUUGUUGUAUGAUCUGAUACUGUUCUUUUUAACUUGCCAGUACCUGUGUAUCCUGGUUGGCACUGACAGAUGUAACCUGCAGCUGUGGCAUAGGUCUCACCACGAAAACCUUGUGAACAGGUGCAUUCAAAUCCAUCCACUAUCCGCCUACAGGUGCCAUUGUUGAAGCAGGGUUCAUCAAUACAGUCUGUAACGCGAUGACUGCAGUCCUCUCCUCCAAAACCAGACAGCGGCCUGAGAGCGAGGCAGAAUCGGACUGGAUGGAUGGAAGGAGGGAAAAUAGAUAAGUAACCUCCCCCAUACUCCCGUCUGUGCCAUGCACCGAUUAUAUUCACUCCAGACAGGAGGAGGGACGCGAGUAACACUCCAGUGCACAUCUUUGGGAGGGACGGAUAACCGAAAAUGACCACAACACACUACACUAAUGCUAAAAAGAGUGCCAGGAAAACAAUAAAUGCAGUGAUGAGAGGUUCUUUAUUGGCAUCUUUGGUUCCAUGAGGAAUUUCUAUUAUGCAAAAGGUUCUUUAAAGUGGUUUUUGAAUUCUUAACUAGAAAAAAAAAAAUGUUCUAUGGCAUCACUGUGAAAACUCCCUUUUGGAACCUUUAUUUUUAAGAAUGUAGAACUAUCUUAGUUCCUCAAACAGCCUUUCAGAGUUCCAAUAUUUUAGUUUUUUUACUCUAAAUGUGAAGAACAUUUUGUCUAAAGAACCUUUU